UUACUUGAGCAAGGAUAGUGCAUUAGAUUUAGAAUCUAAUUAAAUAAGGGUUUCUUAUAAGUAAAAG
rnacentral:tRNA from 1 species